rnacentral:rRNA from 1 species
GGGUGCGAUCAUACCAGCAUUAUUGCACCGGAUCCCAUCAGAACUCCAAAGUUAAACGUGCUUGGGCGAGAGCAGUACUAAGAAGGCUGAGCUCUUGGGAAGUCCUGGGAUUGCACCCC